rnacentral:rRNA from 1 species
UACGAACUGUGCGAACGUUAUUCGGAAUCACUGGGCUUACAGGGUGCGUAGGCUGCGAUGCAAGUCAGGUGUGAAAGCCCACAGCUCAACUGUGGAAUUGCGCUUGAAACUGCAUUGCUUGAGUGAGCUAGAGGUACACGGAACUUCCGGUGGAGCGGUGAAAUGUGUUGAUAUCGGAAGGAACACCAGAGGCGAAAGCGGUGUACUGGAGCUUGUCUGACGCUGAGGCACGAAAGCCAGGGGAGCAAACGGG